GGAAAACAUCUCACAGUUGACAGAAGUGACAACCCUGCCCCAAUACUGUCACAUAAGUAUUAAAGAUAGCAACCCCGACAACUACAAGCCUGCCCUCGGCACAUCGACACACCACCAUCCAAAGCAUCAAUCCAGCACAGCAACACUGACAAACAGCGGCUGCAGGUCCUCAGAGGGAGAGCCCAGCCAGGAGAUGGAGUUUCACUCUCAGCACCUUCACUGAAGAUGAUUUGGAAAAGAAUACAUCAACUCAGAGGUCCACUUUAGACUUAGUUCAUGCAAUCAAAUGCACAUUAAUGAUUUAAAAUGCUACAAAGGGAUUUUCUUUGUUCCAUUCUGUCUGUCACAGAUGAAGUGUACCUAUGAUAAAGACUGCAGACCUCUCCAUCUUUGCAGGUGGGAGAACUUCAGCAGUGUCUAAAUACUGAUUUCUACGGUGGCCCUGAGAGGCCAAAUGCACUGCAGUGUAAGAAAACAGCAGCUGCAGCUACAGCUGCAGACCCUGAACACUGCACAGGAAAGUCAGUUCUUUGAGUACCGUGAAGGAAAAGAGGCAGAAAGAAGGAUGUUCUGAAAAUGCAAAAAGAAAUCAAACAGUGAAGACGGGCCUGAGGCCCAAAGAAGGAAAACACUACCAUUAAAUGUUGGGGCAAGUCGGUGGUCUGAGAAACUUUUGGGUGCUGCCGUUAAAAAAGUGAAAGAUUCCAACCAAGAUGUGGAAGCUGGAGAAAACGUCCUGCUGUGCCCUGAUGGCUCUCAGGGAAAAAUACUCCUGACACACCUUUUACAGUUCAGCUCUCCAAAGAGGCUGCUGGAAAAGCUCAGCAAAGAAGGACACUGUUUGUCUGCACCCUGAGGGCUUCAUGUCACAAAGUGAGCAUUAAAUAGAACUGGCACCAUUGGAGUUCUCUCUUUUACUGUCUCUAUUGUCUCAUUUCUUUCUUUCUGUGAUCAGUGCUUUAGUUUGGAACCAAAGUUAAAGUUUGCAGCCAGCGUGAUGAACAGCACUGAACUGUAACUGUGAUCAUCAAAUAUUCUGUAA